UGCUGUUCCCAUGGUAACGGCGGCCAUUUUGAAUAUUCCAACGUCAAACCCCCGCUGCAAUUUUUGCCCUCCAUAAUCAUAUACCAUUUAAUGUCUCUAGAAUAAAUUUAACAUUGAUGUUCUGGAAUGUUCUGUGAAAAUUCAAAGUUUUGACCUUUUUGCAUUGUUUCCAUGGUAACAACAGAUAUUUUGGAAAUUCCAACGCCA
rnacentral:lncRNA from 1 species